rnacentral:rRNA from 1 species
UACGUAGGGUGCAAGCGUUGUCCGGAAUUAUUGGGCGUAAAGAGCUCGUAGGCGGUCUGUCGCGUCGGCUGUGAAAACUCGGGGCUCAACUCCGAGCUUGCAGUCGAUACGGGCAGGCUAGAGUUCGGCAGGGGAGACUGGAAUUCCUGGUGUAGCGGUGAAAUGCGUAGAGAUCCGGAGGAACACCAAAGGCGAAGGCAGUGUCCUGGGGAGUACCUGACGCUCAGGUGCGAAAGCCAGGGGAGCGAACGGG